GGCAUUCUAUACUAAAGCAGUGUAAAAUGGAUGACAUUCUGGUUCCUAUGACUAGAGGUAAUAUGGAGGAUAUUGAAAAUGAGGGCAGAGAGCCUGGAGAGAGUACUCUUGAGUACUCCUCAGGAAUGAAUACCCAGGUCAUGUAUGAGAAAGAAUCUCGAAUUGUGAUGGAUUAUUCUUCCCUGUCUGAAAGCCAGAAAGAAUUAGAUGAUUCAGAUGAUGUUACCAAGGCUGAGAAGAGAAUGCAGAAACACAUCAAUGAAUUGAUGAAUACCAUUCAACGAAUACAGGCACCCAAUAUGAAGGCUAUGCAAAAACUUGACCUUGCAAGAGAAAAUUGCAGGAGACCAACUCUGAGUUUGACAGUGCUAGGAAGAGAGCAAGAAAAGCAAAGCAAGCCUUUGAAAGGUGCAAAAAAGAGCGUUAUGAUAGAUUCAUGGCUUUCUUUGAGCAUGUAUCCAAUGAGAUAGAUGGGAUUUAUAAGGCUCUUGCAAAAAAUCCUUCUGCUCAAGCAUUCCUUGGACCUGAAAACCCAGAGGAACCCUAUUUAGAUGGCAUCAAUUACAAUUGUGUUGCUCCUGGCAAGAGAUUCCAGCCCAUGUCCAACUUGUCUGGUGGAGAGAAGACUAUUGCAGCCUUAGCCUUACUCUUUGCAAUUCACAGCUAUCAGCCAGCACCAUUCUUUGUACUUGAUGAGAUUGAUGCUGCUCUAGACAACACAAACAUAGGUAAAGUUGCUUCAUAUAUUGUUGAAAUGAAGAGCCACUUGCAGACCAUUGUCAUCUCCUUAAAAGAAGAAUUUUACCAGAAUGCAGAUGCUCUUGUUGGAAUUUGUCCAGAUCCUGGAGACUGUUUGAUCAGUAAGGUUUUGACUCUUGAUCUAGAAGGUUAUCCUCUUCAGAAGACCGAUUCUGCAGAUCCAUUUGGCGCACAGUGAAAGGAUGUUCCAAGUACUCAUGUAAGGACAAUCUGGUUUUUGAAAACUACUCAAACUACUGUAUGCUGCAAAUAGAAGAAAACAGUAUACAGUGUGGUAAUUAGAAUUUUUAGAAAUAACGCUGAAAGCAUCAGUUGAUACAGCAGAGUUCAAAAGCCAUGUAAAUUAUUGCACUGCAUUUAAGGUUGACAAAUACCUUAUAGGUAAUAGAGUACUAAAGUAUGAGUAACUAUUUUCAAGAUUUAUAGGUUAUGUAUGGUAUGGUAUUCAGAUUUAUUCAUGAAAGGUUUUUUUUUUUCUGUAGUUUAUAGAUAAUUAGAUUUAUUUAAAAAGGGAGAGUUUUAUUUUGUCCAUUUGAGAUUUAUCAUUUCAACCAGGAAAAUAUCUAUUUUUUUUCAUCUUCAAAUUGCAGAACAAUUUAUGAGAUUGUUUUAGCAUGCAUAUGCUGAUUUUGUUCACAAGCAACAAAUUUAAUUUCUUAUUA